CAUUAGUAGGCCUCAGUAAAUGUUUAUUAGAUGAAUAAAUGAAUGACUCAUCAACAAACAUUUAUUGUGUGCCUGCUAAAGUG
rnacentral:pre_miRNA from 1 species